GUUAGGAAUAUUGGACAAUGGGCGCAAGCCUGAUCCAGCAAUGCCGCGUGCAGGAAGAAGGCCUUCGGGUUGUAAACUGCUUUUGUACGGAACGAAACGGUCCGGGUUAAUACCCUGGGCUAAUGACGGUACCGUAAGAAUAAGCACCGGCUAACUACGUGCCAGCAGCCGCGGUAAUACGUAGGGUGCAAGCGUUAAUCGGAAUUACUGGGCGUAAAGCGUGCGCAGGCGGUUUUGUAAGACAGGCGUGAAAUCCCCGGGCUCAACCUGGGAAUUGCGCUUGUGACUGCAAGGCUGGAGUGCGGCAGAGGGGGAUGGAAUUCCGCGUGUAGCAGUGAAAUGCGUAGAUAUGCGGAGGAACACCGAUGGCGAAGGCAAUCCCCUGGGCCUGCACUGACGCUCAUGCACGAAAGCGUGGGGAGCAAACAGGAUUAGAAACCCCAGUAGUCC
rnacentral:rRNA from 1 species